rnacentral:snRNA from 1 species
AUACCUUUCUCGGCCUUUUGGCUAAGAUCAAGUGUAGUAUCUGUUCUUAUCAGUUUAAUAUCUGAUAUGUGGGCCAUCGGCCCACACGAUAUUAAAUUAAUUUUUGUAGGGGGAGGGUCCGCAACGGUAGCUUGCUAUCGGGGUCCUCAAGCGUCGCUCUUGCGUUGCACUACUGCAAGAGCCUGGCGCACCCCAG